rnacentral:rRNA from 1 species
UACGUAGGAGGCGAGCGUUGUCCGGAAUUACUGGGCGUAAAGCGCGCGUAGGCGGUUUUUCGCGUAGGCGGUAAAAGCCCCCGGCUUACCCGGGGGAGGUCCGUCUAAACGGGGAAACUGGAGGGCGGUAGGGGCUGGCGGAACGCCCGGUGUAGCGGUGAAAUGCGUUGAGAUCGGGCAGAACACCAGUGGCGAAGGCGGCCGGCUGGGCCGACCCUGACGCUGAGGCGCGAAAGCCAGGGGAGCGAACGGA